rnacentral:lncRNA from 1 species
CCCCGUGAUGAUCCUUCGAUCGAGAGUAAUUUGAGAAUUAACCAUCAACGACACAUACCUCAAAUUCUCAACUCUUGAGAAUGUGUUAUCAUCUUAUUAAUUUUCUGGAUGAUUCAUGGACACAUGCACUACAUGAAUAGAAUUAAUUGCCCUAAUUAAUUAGAUCAAGUACAAAAUUAUAUCCUAGAAAGAAUUAAUGUGUCAGACUGAUUGACUUCUAGGACAUACAUCCAACAUCGAUGGCCUCAGCGAGCUACCGUCGGCCCUUUUCUUUUCUUUCCUCCUCUCCUCUUUCUCUUCUCUCUUUCC